rnacentral:rRNA from 1 species
CCUACGGGUGGCUGCAGUGGGGAAUAUUGGACAAUGGGCGCAAGCCUGAUCCAGCAAUACCGCGUGUGUGAAGAAGGCCUGAGGGUUGUAAAGCACUUUUAAUCGGGAGGAAUAGCGGUCGGUUAAUACCCGGUCGUCUGACAUUACCGAUAGAAAAAGCACCGGCUAACUCCGUGCCAGCAGCCGCGGUAAUACGGAGGGUGCAAGCGUUGAUCGGAGUGACUGGACGUAGAUGGUUCGGUCGCGUGUGAAAGCCCCGGGCUUAACCUGGGAACGGCAUUUGAAACUGAUCGACUAGAGUUGGGUAGAGGGGAGUGGAAUUUCAGGUGUAGCGGUGAAAUGCGUAGAUAUCUGAAGGAACACCAGUGGCGAAGGCGGCUCCCUGGACCCAAACUGACGCUGAGGCACGAAAGCGUGGGUAGCAAACAGGAUUAGAUACCCCUGUAGUC